GAUCAACCCUCAAAUCUGAGACCCAACGAAAUUACCCCAGCAGCUACAUUUUGGGGAUCUGAGAGAAAUGUUCUGCACUAGCAUCUGAGAUAGAAAGGAAACAAGUCUACAAGGGUCUUCUCAGCUACAGUUCCCCCAUCCAUGCACGGACAUGAUACCUCUCCUAUGAGUUCUGUCCCAGGAGAGUUAGAAAGCCAGGUUUCCACACAGCCCUGCCAUCAGAUCUGCCCUGCUGGGAUGCCAGUCAAAGAGGAGCACACAUGGGCAGUGGACAUGGGCCUUCCUACCCCCCAGACUUUGGGGCAGAGCACAGCGCAGGAGCCCAGCUCCGACACAAUGCCCGCCCCGAGUUUGUUGCAGGAUCUGUGCCUUAUCUCGCCUCAGCAUCUGAAAGCAGACUUUGGCUAAGUCCUACAUGCUGCUAUUUAAACUUUAGCAUAAUUUUGACUGAGAAAAUACGUAGCUGAUAGGAUGGACUAAU
rnacentral:lncRNA from 1 species